GACCUGAGACCCAAGAAGGUGAAAGGGGACCACGGGGAUGAGGUCUUCUCGGUCUUCGGGGCCCCACUUCUAAAAGAGGGUGCCUCAGAAGAGGAGAUCAAACUCAGCAA